GACGAACGCUGGCGGCGUGCUUAACACAUGCAAGUCGAACGGAAAGGCCCUGCUUUUGUGGGGUGCUCGAGUGGCGAACGGGUGAGUAACACGUGAGUAACCUGCCCUUGACUUUGGGAUAACUUCAGGAAACUGGGGCUAAUACCGGAUAGGAGCUCCUGCUGCAUGGUGGGGGUUGGAAAGUUUCGGCGGUUGGGGAUGGACUCGCGGCUUAUCAGCUUGUUGGUGGGGUAGUGGCUUACCAAGGCUUUGACGGGUAGCCGGCCUGAGAGGGUGACCGGCCACAUUGGGACUGAGAUACGGCCCAGACUCCUACGGGAGGCAGCAGUGGGGAAUAUUGCACAAGGGGCGGAGGCCUGAUGCAGCAACGCCGCGUGCGGGAUGACGGCCUUCGGGUUGUAAACCGCUUUCGCCUGUGACGAAGCGUGAGUGACGGUAAUGGGUAAAGAAGCACCGGCUAACUACG
rnacentral:rRNA from 1 species